UACGAAGGGGGCUAGCGUUGCUCGGAAUGACUGGGCGUAAAGGGCGCGUAGGCGGAUGGCACAGUUAGAUGUGAAAUUCCCGGGCUUAACCUGGGGGCUGCAUUUGAUACGUGUUGUCUAGAGUGAGGAAGAGGGUUGUGGAAUUCCCAGUGUAGAGGUGAAAUUCGUAGAUAUUGGGAAGAACACCGGUGGCGAAGGCGGCAACCUGGUCCUUGACUGACGCUGAGGCGCGAAAGCGUGGGGAGCAAACAGG
rnacentral:rRNA from 1 species